rnacentral:lncRNA from 1 species
CGCCAUCUUAAGAGGAUUUGUUUUGGUCGCAACAUCAGCUGUCGGCUCAUCAGCGUAUUUGUGGUGAUCUGCUGUGCAAUGUUUUCAUUGAUUCUUUGAGAAACUCUUGUGACCGCAACUUAGUGUAUAUAGUGGACUUCAGAGGCAAACCACAUUGAUGAUGAUAUUAAGAAGAUGGUAGUCUGGCGCCGCAUAAAGAAUGGCAUGUCUGUGAUUUUGCUGUUAGCAUUUAUUUUCUAUAUUGGUUAUUGUACAAAAGAACUGUACACCCGUGUAUUAAACAACCGUAAAUAUAGUCGCCUCAUAGAAUAUGAAAAGGAGAUUGAUGCCCUGACCAACAUGCUGGGGGAUUACAAGAAAGACGCCAACAAAGUGCAGCGAAGCCUCCAGCUCUUACGUGAGGCUCUUGACCAGGUGGUAGUAAACAGAAGACCAAAAAGUAUUAGUGAUAGAUGAUGUCUGUUGAUAAACCCAGAUGAGGUUACCUGAAGAUCUGUUUACUAGGGAUAAUAUUUUUAAGCAUAAUAUGUGAUGGUUCUUAGUUCUUUGCAGAGUCAGGAUAAUGAGAUGAGUGUAAAUUCUGUCAUUUUUCUUGUUUCUGUGUUUUGACAGCCAAAAUCUGACAUUUUUGUUGUUUUGUUUGCUAAAAGAAUCACUUCUCUCAUCAGCAUGGUAUUAUGGCAAAUGCUGUUUAUAUAGAAAGACUUUCUCUCUCACCUUUUACAUUUUUCUUGUCCUCCGUCUCUGGAUAUUUGGGAAUCUCAUCAUUAAACGGUUAUUCUUUUAUUUCAAAACUCAAGCAAAUGAAUUUCAAAUGAAUGGACACAAGAUAUUAAUGGGGAAUAUGAUAAAAGAUUCCCUGGCUUUGUUUUUUCUGUGGAUAUUACUACUGUGUAAUUUAAAUAAAUUGGAGCACAAAGUUAGGAAUAGUGGUCUAUAGAAUUAAUCUAAUCUGUAGAAUUAGAAAAAAAAUUGAUAUUAGCAAUCUUCCUAAAUUUGUUAAUUUUUUUUUAGGAAAUCAAAUGGUUUAUUAGUGCUUUUCCGUAAUAAGGUUUAUGGUUAGAGAUUUCUGUGAUAGAAUCUUGUGUAGAUGACACAUUUCAUGAUAUGUCACUGUUCCCAUAGGUAUGAAAGGUAGACUUUAUAUAUAAGGGAGACUUUAUAUAUAACUAACAUACACACUUGUAGUUUCCUUUUAGGGUUAAUUUAUGCCUGGUUAUUAAUACUGUAUCUUAUAGUUGUCUUUCUUUGAAGCUGAUUCAGUAUAUUUAAAGGAACCAAAUCCUCUUUUUUUUUCCUGUAUUAAGUUAUGUAUGAUACAUCUGGCCUGUACUUGACUAGAUCUUUCCAGGGUUUGGUAGGUUAUGGUAAUGAUGGCAUCAACAUCAUCCUAUGUAUAUAAUUAAGGCUUUUAUUUAUUAGCAGUUUCGUUCAUUUUGAAAUUAUCCAUUUGAGUGCAGCUCUUAGUUUAUAUUUAGCUUGAUUGAGAGGUAAGUGUGAGCUUCAGUUUGUACUGCAUUUAAGUUUAAUUGAAUACUUACAUAUGCCAAUAUCAUCAUAAAAUAUUCAAAAUCCACUUGUAUGCUGUCAUCAAUCAGAUUGUGACAAAUGCCCUACUUUUGUAGUUCCUAGCUCUUCCUUAAUUUUUAUUGCAUAUUUACUUGUUACAAUUAUAUUGUGAAAAUCAAAACCUACUCCAUAUAACUAUCAUUUUUUGUAUAUGAUUAGAUGGACCUAAAAGUGUGUCUCAUAUAUAUUCCUUGCUGAUAUGAUGGGAGUUUAUAUAUUUGUGCAUCUUGCAUACAUUAAUUUUGGUACUUACAGACUUGUUAUCUAAGAUAUUGUUACUUUUGAUUAAUGAAAAAAUGGAAUUGCCAUACUUGAUCUGCUUCUGGACAGUUAUUCUUAAAAGUGUAAUUUUAUAAAUUUUUCUUCAGAAUCGAUGUUUUCUAUUAAGUAUUGUUUAAAAUUUGUUCCCCUAGAUUCAUUCUUUUAGAAAGUAUUGUCACAAAAGAAGCAACUAUUUUUAGUAACUACUUGUUUAGGGUGUAGAUUUUGAUAAAUUAACAAUUACUGCAGCUAUUCAUAGUCUACAAUAUUAGGUAUCUUGUUGUAGUGAGAUUUUUUCCAAAAAGAAAAGACAAGGCAUGAUUAGAAAAUUAGAUGUUAAUGUUUUUUGCUAUUGAUGAUUAUCUGGUACGAUUCAUUUAUAGUAGUAUUCGACUUAUACAACUUAAUAUGCACUCGGUAUAUAGUGUACCAGUACAAGGCAUUUCUAGAAUUCCAGAAUGAAGUUAGUUAUUGUAAUAUAUACCUAGUGGUGAAAGGUCGGGGGGGAGGGGAAAGUUUCACUGCCCCCCUCCCCCUCUUUGCCCCGUAUGCAAAGGAACCCCCAUAUGACAAGUACGAAUUGUUUGAUUUAAAAUGUUUGUUUAAGAAAAAAAAAAAAAG